ensembl:lincRNA
AUACUUGGGGCAAAGACAUGGACAGACACAGCAAAUCAGAGUCUCCCGCUUGGCAUGAGUGUGUGUGUGUGUGUGCGUGUGUGUGUGUGCGCGCGCGUGCAUGUGUGUGCACAUGUGUGUGUGCAGGAGUCUGUGAGCCUUAGAGCUUCAGUGCCAGUCUUGCUUCCCUCUUCUUCCCUUACUCUCUUUCCCAAGCCUUCACCUCCCACUCCACCCACAGUGUUCUCUGUAUGCGGCUAAGGAUCACAGAAUAAUUGAAACUGGAGUAAAGCUUAGACCCACUCCCUGGUGCCCAUGGAAAAACCGAGGCCCGGCGAAGGGGCUGAGCUCCUGCCACCUUGCAGCGCCAAAGACCACAUCCGGGACUCCGGCCCAGCUCUUCGGACUUCCCAACCCACCGCUACAAGGAGCCGCCCACAGAGCCAGAGCCAUGGAGAAGCAAAGAGCCAGGCUUUAUUUCCAGCUCUUCUGCUGAAACUUGGACCUUGGUUUCCUCAUUUGGAGAAGGGGGUCGCUGGACCAGUCGAUGCUAAUAGUCCUGCAGCCCAUCCUCUGGAGCUGCUCUGCCUGUGCGGAUGGCGCUCUUCCUGAUUUCCCAUCUGCCCCCUCCCCUGGCUUCUCCAGGGCCUUUCCUGCUUCCCUGCUCCUGACAGCCUUCGAGCCUGGGACGCAAACCUGGUGGGGUGGGGAAGUCUGUGUUCAGCUCCAAGUGGGCUGGGGCUGCUUCUGAGGCUCUUCUGGCUCUGCAGUUAUUUCUGCCCUGCAGUGAAGGAUCAUGACAUGUGAAGCACUGUCUGGUGCCCUGGCACACAGUAGGGGCGCCCCCUAGUCCACUCCUGCCCCUCCUACCUCUCAUCCUUCAUCCGCUUCAGUCACUGCAGAAGCCCCACUGUGUUUUCUGGUUUCCGGUUCCGCUCAGUCCUAUGUCGCGUUCCUCCAGUCAGAACCCUCGAAUGGUUCCCGCUGCUUUCAGGGAGAAGACUGGAUGGGAUUCACUGCCUGUAGCCCCGAUGGGCCCAGCUGUGCCCACUUCCCCAGGCUGGCUUCCAGACCCACCAUGCUUUUUCCAUCUUGGGCCCCAAGUAAACUCUACCCUCUCUAGUGGUCCCUUUCCCCAGAGUCCUUGGGACACCAGAGAGGGUUUGCCACCUCACGGUAGGUUCUUUCACCAUCACCCUGACAGUGAAAUGCCAUUUUGACAGAAAGGUCCCUUGCCCUGAAAGCAGUUUGGGGCAUCUUUAGUGCUGACUGCAUUUGUUUAAUACCUAGUACAUCGUAGAUAUUUGUUGAGUAAAGGAAUGAGUAAUUAAAUGUAGUUGGAAUGAGACUCAGUACCUUCUGUGAAAUCUGGACCCAGAACUCCCUGAAGGGGUGUCACCCUCUUGUGAAUAGGCACCUACCUUCCCUGCAAGUUCCUCUUUUCCCUCCUGACUCUUGACUUUUGAGAUUCUCAGACCCUCAAAUUUCUUUUUAAACCUUCCUCUGGCCCGACAACAACAUCACCCCAGUCAAGCAACAGACUUUAGAUGGACAUUUUCAGUUCCCCUCAUCUUCAUUUGACAAGUACAGUCACUUCCAUGCCUUGAUUAUGUUUUGGUUCUUGAGGCUACAGCCAGCUGCGGUUUUUCUCCACUCUUGUUGGCAUUGGAGAGGAAAGUCGUUCAGGAGAAGCAGCUAACUCAGCUGGGACCAGGGGAGAAGUAUUGGGCUUCAGCACCAUCCUGGGGAAGAGGCGGGCCUUCAUGGCUGUGGCUGGAGCAGAGGUGGUUGGAAUCCUUAGUUGAAUCACUCUGGUCAAAGUUCCUCAGAGUAUAUUGAGAGAACAGGGUUUUGUUGAGGUAUUUUGCCAAAGAAAGAAUUCUGUGCUUGGAUAUAUCUGGGGAGCUAGUCCCACUCAAUUAGUCCUUAGUCUAAAGCUGCAGAAGCCAAGUCUCCUAAUUUAAACUUAGAAAGGAGUUAUUCUAAGGACCAGAGUAGCUCAAAGAAUCUCCUGGAGAGUCAGGAAAUUAAGGUCAGAGGCAAAGCAGCCAAGAACAACACCCAAAGUCACAUUGUAAGACUUGUCUCCAGGAGACCCUACUGCUGCACAGAUUCUUUGAUUUGAGCCACCAGCUCUGUCAGUCCUGGAUGUCCCCU